rnacentral:tRNA from 1 species
GGUGGGGUCGCAUAGCGGCCUAGUGCAACGGCUUGGAAAGCCGUGACCCUUCGGGGUCUCGUGGGUUCAAAUCCCACCCCCACCG